CGCGUACGAAUCUACCUUUCAGUGGGGGAUAGCUCGGGGAAACUCGAAUUAAUACCGCAUACACCCUUCGGGGGAAAGAGGGCCUCUCCUUAGAAGCUCUCGCUGUUAGAUGAGCCUGCGUGAGAUUACCUUGUUGGUAAGGUAAUGGCUUACCAAGGCUACGAUCUCUACCUGGUCUGAGAGGACGAUCAGCCACACUGGGACUGAGACACGGCCCAGACUCCUACGGGAGGCAGCAGUAGGGAAUAUUGGACAAUGGGGGCACACCUGAUCCAGGCAUGCCGCGUGUGUGAAGAAGGCCUUAGGGUUGUAAAGCACUUUAAGUGAGGAAGAAAAGAUUUAAAUUAAUACUUUAAGUCCCUGACAUUACUCACAGAAUAAG
rnacentral:rRNA from 1 species